rnacentral:rRNA from 1 species
CAUUAUUGAAUUGUCAACAUGGGUUGUUGCUGGUCCUCAGAACGGGGACAUGUGCACACUCUGUUCACACAUCCACUCACACCUGUGCACCCUCUGUAGUUCUGUGGUGUGGGAGACCCUGUCUCCUCGCUGUGGUCCUACUCAUUUACACACACACUCUGUGAUAAAGUCUUAUGGAAUGUACACAGCGUUUAACGCAAUAUAAUACAACUUUCAGCAACGGAUCUCUUGGCUCUCGCAUCGAUGAAGAACGCAGCGAAAUGCGAUAAGUAAUGUGAAUUGCAGAAUUCAGUGAAUCAUCGAAUCUUUGAACGCACCUUGCGCCCUUUGGCUAUUCCGAAGGGCAUGCCUGUUUGAGUAUCAUGAACACCUCAACUCCUCAUGGCUUGCCAUGAUGAGCUUGGACUUUGGAGGCCUUGCUGGCUUGUAGCCAGCUCCUCUCAAAUGAAUCAGCUUACCAGUGUUUGGUGGCAUCACAGGUGUGAUAACUAUCUACGCUUGUGGUGUUCUGCCAGGUGAGACCUUCCAGCAAUGGGGGCCACUGGAGCUCAUAAAUGUCUCUCCUCAGUGGAGACAGCUUUUGAAUGUUUGAUCUCAAAUCAGGUAGGACUACCCGCUGAACUUAAGCAUAUCAAUAAGCGGAGGA